GUCCCUGUAGCUUACAACUAAAGCAUGGCACUGAAGAUGCCAAGACGGCCACCACACCUGCCCGAGGACA
rnacentral:tRNA from 1 species